ncrna:unclassified sequences GA-cis RNA
GCGCGGAGGGCGCUUAUGAAUCGAAGAUUCAUAAUUAGGAUGCGCCCGACAACCUACCACAGAGCGAAGCGAUGUGGUGAUACCAGAA